UUAACUCCACAUAAUGAUGGCGUGCAAUUAUCUAUUUAUUUAUAAAUACCCAUAGGCUGGGAUCAGAAUCAACACUUAGAAGAGCCACUCCCUCGAAAAAGGCAACCAAGAAAACGAAUGGAUUCUACUACCUUGGAUUAAUUAAACUCGCUGAGCAAAGAGCCCACCUCUGCCGAGUCCCAGUUCUGCCUAAGACAAGGUUUGUCCGCUUUCUUCAGCGACAGGACCGCCCAAGAGAUCAACUAAACGGUAUAACCACUGAACUUCGAGCUCAGAGCCGGCCGCGGGAGGCUCGGCCACCCAGGCAGGAAAAUCAAGGAGCCCAGUUUCUUGAAGGGUCGCUGAGAAGCUACAGGAGCAAAGGAGAAAGAAGCGUGCAGCGUUCGCGCCAAGGGCUUGAGACAGUAAGCUUGACUCGCCCCAUCUUGGUGCUGAUAACGCCAAGGUCGCCGGCUGAGGCAAAAACAGAAUGCAAAGCAAAGGUCUGCGGUUUAUGAGGACAUUGUGCUGUCUGCUUUCAUGUCCGCAUCAGUCUCUGUGUAAGCAAUAAACUUGCUACAAUUGAGAUGCCUAAGAGGGACAAGAGACCUCUGCCCAUAUUUUCCCUGGAGCUAAGCCUUUGAUCUAACUCCUGAUGGAAAACAGGAUUAACAAGCCACCUUAAGGGCGUCAUUGUUUGCUUGCACCGUGUAUCUUUGAAAAACACACUGCUUUGUAAACUACUAUCACAAGCCCCCUUAAACUGCUUUGUGAGCGGUUAUCAUAAGCCCCUGAUAACUAUUUUUAUGGAGUUACUAUUUCCUUUCUGUUUACCCCUUUUAUGCCGAGAUAAAGUAAACGUAAGAAGAAAAAAGGUAUAAAAGCUGUAACCCACAAGAAUAAACUUGCUGCGUUUUGACCAUAAGUUACGCAGACUUCCAGACUCCGCUUUACUUUUUUCUUUCACUUCCACGCAGUAUCUCCGUCAGGUUGAACGAAACAUCUAUGUUGGCGGUCUCGGGGACUCCAGCUGGUCUGUAGUUCCCCGGCAGACGUGCCGGACCCCAACAGGAGUGAUAGAGACAGGCCUCAGUACCGGCGGUGGGUGGGGGCGUUGCACUGAAAAAGGUGUUCACCGAAAGCCCGCGUCCUGAAACACUGAAGCAGGUGCGGUUUGAAGUUUCCUUCGGCAUAAUUUAAUUUUCAGUGAAAUUUGAGGGUUGGAAGAAAUUGCCAGAGGAUUGUAAAGAAGUGAGCAAAGACGGUAGGUUCUUCCCAGCUCCAGGAAGUUGAGAAAAGUUCCUUUGGUGAUUGGAGUAAGUUGUGUCUUUGGAACUAUAAAGAGCAUAGGAUGGACACAUAGUGAGACCGGUUAGCUCAGUUGGCUAGAGCGUGGUGCUAAUAACGCCAAGGUCGCGGGUUCCAUCCCCAUACCGGCCAGAGGGGUUGCUUUUGUUCAUUUUACCAUUACAACUGUGCACAGUGCUGUACAAAGUCCCAAAAGAACAAGAAAGAAAUGUGUAUGUGCCCAGUAACCUUGCUAGGACGUAGUGCGAUUCACCGUAAUUCUGUGCUUGCGGGUUUAGUGUCCUGCAAGAGCAGACGAUGAAGAGAGCGGAGAUUCCGGAAGGAAAUUGAAAUCCCCAUAGAACGCGAAAACACAAAAAUGAGGAGUUGGGCUUUUCAUUCUGUGACGCUCUCCAGAGUGUACAAACAUUUCUCUGCCAUGACUAACUUCCGAUACGGACUUUCCUAACUCUGCAUCUGCUUGCUUCCCGCAGACCUGUCCUUGGCUUGUGCAGGGCAAGUAAAGCCACUCAACAACUCCCAUUUUGCGUUUCUAUUUCCUCUCUCUUUGCUUCCCACACUUAACUCUAGAGAUACCGAGGUAAGGAAAUGUCCCAAAGAACGCUGAGCCUUUGACCUCCUCUUCACUCUCUCACUGCUUAGACACAAAACCAUCUUCCGGAAAAUGUCUUCCGACACCUCCCCUGGUUUCCCAGCUUGGGUUUCGUUGCUCCUAGCACUCACAGAUAUCCAGGUACACAUUUGUUUUGUGGCAUUUUCCAUGUUGUGGAUGUCUGCUGCCUGGCGCUCUUCUCCAUGAGAUUCUAAGCUCCUUGGGGGUAGGAUGCUUAUUGCUAAACACUUUUAAAAGUCUGCAUGAAUGAAUGAAGACUGAGGGAUAUGUAUGCAGGCAUGAUGGGAAGGGUGUCUUGUGCUCCAAGUGGACUUCACUGGUCUGUAGAACCCAGGUUAUCUCAACAAAGGGAUUUUGGUCAGAUGCGCAACAGACUACGCUAUAUGGUGAUUGGUUCCAUUUUGCUGAGUGUAUCUCUGAGGCUCCUAGUGGCUCUAUAUGCCCCUAGGAUGGGACAUGGAAGAGGACAGAGCAUGCCCAAUACAUCCAAAGUCAGGAAAGAUCUGAAAUGUUUAACUUUGUUGAGGCUGAGAGGCAGGAAUGAACCCUCCUUCUUGAUGGGAAUUUCUGCCUCACUGAUUGAUAGUAAAUAAAACGGCGAGCCAGUGCACCUCAAACCCGUAUUUUCUACUACAUCGAUGUGAUUGGUUCUGACAUUUUCAAAUUUCAAGUCAUCAGAAUGAUUUAGACUAAUGUUUACAAAACUAUAAUUUAUGAAGUCCUUGGUUGUGAAUAGGUGCACAUACACAGAAGAAAGAGAGUGAUAUGCCCUUUACCAUAAGUGGUAUUUACGCUUGUACCCGACGAUAAAUACACAGGGAAGGACAGCUACAGAACUGAUUAGCUCACUGGGUGUAUCCUCAACAUCAGGACCUGAUCCUCCGGCUGCUUCUUCUGCAGUAACUCCUGUUCUCAGAAUCACGAGGCAAAGUGUUACAUGCCCUUGCCCAAAUCAAGCACUGGCAAGAGAUCUGGGAAAACCAGUUUUAACUCUCGACUCUGAGGUUAGGAUCCACUUACUCUGCAGAAGACGGUUGUGAAAAGGUCAAGUGCUGAAUUAGCUCGUUUCUAUAUUAGAAAAGAAGAAUGGAAAACAUUGUGAUACAUCAAAGUCAUUGUUGGGUGGAUAGCAAACAGUAUAUGCUCUUUUGUGUUUUAUCCCCAUCCGGGAAAUUUAAAAAAAUUAUUUAGUGAAUUACGUUACUCAUUUCAGUAACACAUUUGAGGCCGUAGUCUCUUGGAUCCACUGACUGCAGAAAUAACUUGAUUUACAGCUCGGAUUGAGUUGCAGUGAUGAGUAACGAUGACAUUAACGUUCCAUAAUGAUGUAUAGUCAUCUUUCAGCAUCUAUAGAUAUCAAAAUCCUCAGAUGCUCAAGUCCCUUCAAUUAGAUGGCAUCAUAUUUGCAUGUAUCUUAUGCACAUCCUCCCAGAUACUUGAAAUCAUCUCUGGAUUACCUAGAAUACCUAUUAGUUAUUAUAUUGUAUUCUUUGGGGAAUAAUGACAAGAGAAUGUCUGUACCUGUGCAAUACAAAUGCAUUUUUCCUGGUAUUUUUGAUCUGCGGUUGGCUGACUUCGUGGACAUGGACCUCGUAGAGACUGUAAGCUGACCGUAAUGACUAUUACUAAGAAGAAGUAGAUAAAAAGAGCAUUGACCUCUCAAAAGAUGUGCUCCUAUGCUUUCUUCUUAACGUUUUAUAGUUUCAACCCUUACACUGAAGUUGUUGAUCAAUUUUGAAUUAAUUUUUUUAUAAAGCGUGAGGAAGGAGUCCAACUUCAUUCUUUUGUAUGUGGAUUUGCAGCUAUUUCAGCAUCAUUUGUUGAUGAUUACUGUCUUCCAAUUGAAUUGUCUUGGAAAUUCAGAAUUAAUAGGCUGUAAAUGUGAGGAUUUGUUUCUGGACUAUUAAUUCUAUUUCAUUGACUCAUUUGUGUAUUCUGACGCCAGUACCAUAUU